rnacentral:rRNA from 1 species
GAUGAACGCUGGCGGCGUGCUUAACACAUGCAAGUCGAGCGAGAAAAGUUCUUCGGAGCUUUUCUAGCGGCGGACGGGUGAGUAACACGUGGGCAACCUGCCUCAUAGAGGGGAAUAGCCUUCCGAAAGGAAGAUUAAUACCGCAUAAUGUUGUUGAAAGGCAUCUUUUAACAAUUAAAGGAGCAAUCCGCUAUGAGAUGGGCCUGCGGCGCAUUAGUUAGUUGGUGAGGUAACGGCUCACCAAGGCGACGAUGCGUAGCCGACCUGAGAGGGUGAUCGGCCACAUUGGAACUGAGAUACGGUCCAGACUCCUACGGGAGGCAGCAGUGGGGAAUAUUGCACAAUGGGGGAAACCCUGAUGCAGCAACGCCGCGUGAGUGAUGAAGGUCUUCGGAUUGUAAAGCUCUGUCUUUAGGGACGAUAAUGACGGUACCUAAGGAGGAAGCCACGGCUAACUACGUGCCAGCCGCCGCGGUAACAC